rnacentral:rRNA from 1 species
GACGAACGCUGGCGGCGUGCUUAACACAUGCAAGUCGAACGGAAAGGCCCUGCUUUUGUGGGGUGCUCGAGUGGCGAACGGGUGAGUAACACGUGAGUAACCUGCCCUUGACUUUGGGAUAACUUCAGGAAACUGGGGCUAAUACCGGAUAGGAGCUCCUGCUGCAUGGUGGGGGUUGGAAAGUUUCGGCGGUUGGGGAUGGACUCGCGGCUUAUCAGCUUGUUGGUGGGGUAGUGGCUUACCAAGGCUUUGACGGGUAGCCGGCCUGAGAGGGUGACCGGCCACAUUGGGACUGAGAUACGGCCCAGACUCCUACGGGAGGCAGCAGUGGGGAAUAUUGCACAAUGGGCGGAAGCCUGAUGCAGCAACGCCGCGUGCGGGAUGACGGCCUUCGGGUGGUAAACCGCUUUCGCCUGUGACGAAGCGUGAGUGACGGGAAUGGGUAAAGAAACACCGGCGAACUACGU